rnacentral:rRNA from 1 species
GACGUAGGAUGCGAGCGUUGUUCGGAAUUAUUGGGCGUAAAGGGCGCGUAGGCGGCCUUCUAAGUCGAACGUGAAAUCCCCGGGCUCAACCCGGGAACUGCGUCCGAUACUGGAAGGCUUGAAUCCGGGAGAGGGAUGCGGAAUUCCAGGUGUAGCGGUGAAAUGCGUAGAUAUCUGGAGGAACACCGGUGGCGAAGGCGGCAUCCUGGACCGGCAUUGACGCUGAGGCGCGAAAGCCAGGGGAGCAAACGGG